GACAGAGGGUGCAAACGUUGUUCGGAAUUACUGGGCGUAAAGCGAGUGUAGGCGGUCUGCUAAGUCGGGUGUGAAAGCCCUGGGCUCAACCCAGGAAGUGCACUCGAAACUGGCGGGCUAGAGUAUCGGAGAGGUUGGUGGAAUUCUCGGUGUAGAGGUGAAAUUCGUAGAUAUCGAGAGGAACACCGGUGGCGAAGGCGGCCAACUGGACGAAUACUGACGCUGAGAAACGAAAGCCAGGGGAGCGAAGGGG
rnacentral:rRNA from 1 species